UACGUAGGGUGCAAGCGUUGUCCGGAAUUAUUGGGCGUAAAGGGCUCGUAGGCGGCCAACUAAGUCAUACGUGAAAUCCCUCGGCUUAACCGGGGAACUGCGUCUGAUACUGGAUGGCUUGAGUUCGGGAGAGGGAUGCGGAAUUCCAGGUGUAGCGGUGAAAUGCGUAGAUAUCUGGAGGAACACCGGUGGCGAAGGCGGCAUCCUGGACCGAUACUGACGCUGAGGAGCGAAAGCCAGGGGGAGCAAACGGGG
rnacentral:rRNA from 1 species